rnacentral:rRNA from 1 species
UACAGAGGGUGCGAGCGUUAAUCGGAAUUACUGGGCGUAAAGGGCGCGUAGGCGGCCGAUCAAGUGAGACGAGAAAUCCCUGGGCUUAACCUAGGAAGUUCGUUUUAUACUGUUGGGCUAGAGUACUGUAGAGGGUAGUGGAAUUUCCGGUGUAGCGGUGAAAUGCGUAGAGAUCGGAAGGAACACCAGUGGCGAAGGCGGCUACCUGGACAGAUACAGACGCUGAGGCGCGAGAGCGUGGGGAGCAAACAGG